rnacentral:rRNA from 1 species
AUGACAAGCACUUUGAAAAGAGGGUGAAAAGAGCCUGAAACCGUCACGGGGGAAGCGGAUCGCGUUGGAUUGGUGGGUGCCUGCGUGUUCAGCCGUUUUCGGUGUAUUGAUGCAGGUACUUAUCCGCCGUGGGUUUCUGGUGGUCGAUUUUGGACCACUGGAGGCUGAGGGCUCCCUUUUAUAGGUGAGGACGGUGGAGCAACGACGCGAUACGACCCGUCUUGAAACACGGACCAAGGAGUCUAGCGCGGGUGCGAGUCAGAGGGUGCAAGCCCGUGGGCGAAGUGAAAGCGAGUUUUUAAAACGAGCAGUUUGAGGCGGCAUGAAAUCGUUGAUUUCAAGACUGACCUAGAGCAGUUGCGCUGGGACCCGAAAGAUGGUGAACUAUGCCGGAGUAGGGCAAAGCCAGAGGAAACUCUGGUGGAGGCUCGUAGCGGUGCUGACGUGCAAAUCGCUCGUCCAACUUGGGUAUAGGGGCGAAAGACUAAUCGAACCAUCUAGUAGCUGGUUCCCUCCGAAGUUUCUCUCAGGAUAGCGGGCCGACAUUGUGUUGUUUUGUGC